rnacentral:rRNA from 1 species
GCAUAUCAAUAAGCGGAGGAAAAGAAACUAACAAGGAUUCCCCUAGUAACGGCGAGUGAAGCGGGAAGAGCUCAAAUUUGAAAUCUGGUAGCCUUCGGUUGCCCGAGUUGUAAUCUAGAGAAGUGUUUUCCGUGCCGGCCCAUGUACAAGUCCCUUGGAACAGGGCGUCAUAGAGGGUGAGAAUCCCGUCCUUGACAUGGACCCCCGGUGCUUUGUGAUACACUUUCAACGAGUCGAGUUGUUUGGGAAUGCAGCUCAAAAUGGGUGGUGAAUUCCAUCUAAAGCUAAAUAUUGGCGAGAGACCGAUAGCGAACAAGUACCGUGAGGGAAAGAUGAAAAGCACUUUGGAAAGAGAGUUAAACAGUACGUGAAAUUGUUGAAAGGGAAACGAUUGAAGUCAGUCAUGCUCUUAGGAUUCAGCCGUUCUGCGGUGUAUUUCCUUUGAGUGGGGUCAACAUCAGUUUUGAUCGAUGGAUAAAGGCACGAGGAAGGUAGCACUCUCGGGUGAGCUUAUAGCCUCGCGUCAUAUACAUUGAUUGGGACUGAGGAACGCAGCAUGCCUUUAUGGCCGGGAUUCGUCCACGUACAUGCUUAGGAUGUUGACAUAAUGGCUUUAAACGACCCGUCUUUGAAACACGGACC